rnacentral:rRNA from 1 species
CCCUUAGAUGUCCUGGGCCGCACGCGCGUUACACUGAUGCAUUCAACGAGCUUAUAACCUUGGCCGAGAGGCCUGGGCAAUCUUGUUAACGUGCAUCGUGAUAGGGAUAGAUUAUUGAAAUUAUUAAUCUUCAACGAGGAAUUCCUAGUAAGCGCGAGUCAUCAGCUCGUGCUGAUUACGUCCCUGCCCUUUGUACACACCGCCCGUCGCUCCUACCGAUUGAGUGCUCAGGUGAAUAAUUCGGACUGCAGCAAUGUUUGGAUCCCGAACGUUGCAGCGGAAAGUUUAGUGAACCUUAUCACUUAGAGGAAGGAGAAGUCGUAACA